rnacentral:rRNA from 1 species
GACAGAGGAGCCAAGCGUUGUCCGGACUGACUGGGCGUAAAGCGCACGCAGGCGGCGCUGCGCGCGGGGUGUGAAAGCUCUUGGCUUAACUGAGAGAGGCCAUCCCAUACGGCAGUGCUCGAGCGGUGCAGAGGUCCGCGGAAUUGCCGGUGUAGUGGUGAAAUGCGUAGAGAUCGGCAGGAACACCCAGGGGGAAACCAGCGGACUGGGCAUCAGCUGACGCUCAGGUGCGACAGCGUGGGGAGCGAACCGG